AGCAUGGCUUGACAAGUGGUGCCAUGUCCACACCUGGGAUCCGAACUGCUGAACCCGGAGCUGCUGAAGUGGAACGUGGGAACUUAACUGCUGUGCCACCGGGCCGACCCCAGUUGUAUAGAUUUGUAUAAUAAUGAGAAAAGCUUUCAGUAAUUCACCGUCAAGUAUGCUGUUUGCUCAAGACUCAUUGGAGAUGACCUCUAUCAGAAUUAGACAGGUCCCUUCGAUUCCUAGUUUGCUGGACUGGUGACGGAAAGGACUCAAAUUGAAGAUAUAUCUAGGGAGGUGCCUGUUGAUAACACUUCCAGUUUCAGACAACCCUGUGUGAUACCCUUUGGACCCUGAAUAUUGGGACUUCCUGUGCUGUGCUCAUAAGGCAUUAUGUAAGACACAUGAGGGCACAUUCCCAGCGAUGGACACUCACUGAGAGUCCACUGUGAGCUGGUCCCUGUAGACAAGGGUCAGUAACUCACACGUGCCGGAGUCAGGAAGCCUGCAGCCUCCUAAGGGAAGACAUAUCUGCAAAUAAAAAAUAGAGUACAGAGUGCUGAAUGCUGUGGCAAAGACAAACACAGGUACGGUGAGUUUUAGGUAAGACACACCCACCCACUGGGAGCAGGAGGUAAGCAAGGAAGGCUUUUCUCAAGGGGAGGAAGUCCCUUUUAGUUGAGUCAUGAAGGAUGGGUAAGAACUAGAGAGGCUGAAAGAAGGAGAGGUGGGUGGUGGGAGGGUGUUCCCAGCUUGAGGGGCCAGCGGCAGUGUGGGCUGAGAAGCAGCAGGCACGUGGUGUUCCGGAGGACUGCAAGGCCUGUGGACUGACUGGAGCAUAAGAUCGGAGGCGGUCAGAGUCAACAGGAGUACAGGCAGAAGAUGAAUUCAGGAAAUUUCAGUGGCCCGCCCAGUGGCGCAGCCAUUAAGUGUGCACGUUCUGCUUCGGUGGCCUGGGGUUCACGGGAUGGAGGUAAUUGAUUAUUAUCCAGUAAGGAAUGGAGAUUAUGGCCUGUGAGGGGUGUUAUUUGUCAGGGUUCUCCAGAGAAGCAGAACCAAUAGGAGUCGUUGACAGUUCUGUGACACUGUCUAUUCACAAUCUGUUCCUGCUUGAUAAUGAUCAAUUAACAUAUACAUAUAUAUUAUGUAUAUUUUGUAUACAAGGAGAGAGAGAUUGAUUUGAAGGAGUUGACUCAUGCAGUUGUUUGGGCUGACAAGUCUGAAAUGGACAGGCAGAUUGGCAGGCUGGAGACCCCGAAGAGACUUGUUGCAGUCUCGAGUCCAAAGGCAUUCUGGAGCAGAAUUCUCUCUUCCUGGGAAGAGGUCAGUCUUUUUUCUCAUAAGGCCUUCAACUGAUUGGAUGAGGCCCAGCCACAUUAUGGAGGGUAAUCUGCUUUAUUCAAAGUCUACUGUUUAAAUAUUAAUCACAUCUGAAAAAUACCUUACGGUACAUCUCAGCAGCUGGAGGGCAUAAUCAUGCAUCACGCCUCUAGUUACAUGUGCUGUUUCCUUAUAAUAACUUUUUUUAUUCCUGCAAAUUUAAAUGUGGGCAGAAGUGACCAGGAGACCUGCUUGGUGUCUGUAUUGGGGUUAGUGGGCCAUUGUUUGUGUUCUCAUUAGUGAUCUCAUGGGCUCUCAUCAUUUAUUUGGAUGUGAGUUUUGAGGUCUUCGUGUGGGUGUGGUUAUGCAUUUCCACAUUACACUGUUAAUGAAGUGACACAAUGUGAUAUGUGCUUUGGUUUGAUGCCAGGUUAGGUGUGGGUUGAUGAACUCCAGGCCUUCAGUGAAAUGUGUCAAGUGACAGUCUGGUCCCUGGUUGGUUUUAAGAUGUUAAAUAUAAGUCUGUGUCAAGCUACAGAGCUGUUUCCUCAGGAUGAGCCUCACUGGGAGGUGGGUGGUUAACAUGGGGCUGAGGCCCGGCUUCCUGGGUCCAGGCUGGUAGUUCCUUGAGAGCUGUGUGCUCUAACUGUCCCCAGAGCACAUGCUGUCGCAGAGGUUGCUUGGACCAGACUUGGGAAGGCCUGCACCUAUCUCAAGUUAUGUAUGGAUGCCGUUCUCAGCGUUUUUGGGUUGCGGUGGCAUGCCUCCUGUGGAGAGGGUAUAUGAUGUGUUCAAAGUUAUUCUUAGUGGUUCUUCUGCUGGUCUCUGGACCAGCAGCAUCAGCAUCACCUGGGAGUUUGUUAGAAAUGCAGAUUCUUGUGCCCCACCCCAGACCGGCUGAAUCAGACAUUCUGGGGGUGGGGCUCAGCAAGCUAUAGAUUACCCAGCCCUCCAGGAGGGUCCCGUAUACCCUCAUGCCUGAGAACCACGAUUCUCGGGAAAUAGCUGCACGAGUCUGACCUAUUAACAGUGCUGUAGUUAAUUGAUAGUGGCUGCUGCAGAUUUCUUAAAUAUUUUAGUUUAAUAUUUAACAUCACUGUUCCUCUCCAAACAUGUUUUCUGCCUUUCUUCAGUAUCAUUUCCCUUCCCGCUGCUAAAAUCAUUACUGCACCUCUUCACUUCGCUUACCUUGCCCUAAACCCUGAAUGUUUAACCUUCUGUCUUUCUGUAUUGGCACAAAUUUCAAUUCUCUCUUAAAGCCCACUUGGUUUCUAAUUUAAUGCUAAUGUUUUUACCAUGAUUUGCACCCCUCGUUGGGAUUUUCCCUUUUCUGAACUCCAGAAGCGCUCACCGCCUACAUAGGUGCUGUUUUCAUGUGGGGCCCUCGCCACUGGAUUACCACAAGUGUCUGUUCAGUGUUGUUCCUGGUGUCUAAUGGCAUCUCCAUGCAAAUGGAUUUUUUUGAUCAAGAGAUCUUAGAAUGUGGCCGCGUGGAAGAGAACUGACUCCCGUGGAGGAGCGGAGGCAGCCGGUGCUCUCCGGCCAGUGCUCUCGGGCCGCUCAGCCUUCGGAGAAGGAGGCCAGGGACAUCAUGCUGUGCCCAGGGAUGCACCAGAGUUGGCCAGGAGGCAGCAGGAGCAAGGGAGAAUGUGGGCACAAGCCUCAUCGUGUUCUGUGGGAAGGAGUGGGCGAGGCAGGGGGAGCAGACUUAGCAUCGCUGGUUUGGAUAAUUUCGGUGGUCCGGCUCUAAGGGCCGUCUUAAUGGUCUGCCUGCCCCGGGAUGCUUCAGGGCAGGAGAAUAGUGUCCCAAAGUGCAGGCGCCUGAUAGAAAGACGUGAGAGGGGUGUGGACUCAGGCUUCAUUGGUUUGCACAUCAAGGGCGUGAUCACAGACAAGUUGUUUGCUGCCUCUAGGAAUGAGCUCACUCUGAAAGGGCCAGUCCCUCCUCUGUCCGCAAGCCGCUAAAUGUCAAAGCAUCAUAAAAUACAGAACAUAAAAAACGUGAGUAAUACAAAUACUAUAGAGAUGUCACUCAGAGACUGUAGCUAUAUUAUUACUUGAACAAAAUUGAGAGCAUUUCCUCUCUGUCUGCAUCUGAAUUCCAUGAGAGCAAUGGCAAGUAAUCUUUUCCUGUACUUUUAUCUAGAAGGUUAAUUUCAUUUGUCUUUAGUUUGUAUCCCACAUUGAAUCAGAGCAAAAAAGAAUUUGAAAAGUGGACUUGAAACAGCAGGUGAAAUUCAGAUAGUGGUUUAUCACUGGAGUUGUUAAACAGGCUUUCAGUGUUUCCUACAGUUCAUGCAGCCAGUGGGUGUCACCCUCUGUUCUGAUGGCAGAGGACCAGCAGGUGCCCGAAAGCCCUGGAGUGCUCCUGGAGUGCGGUCUGACGGUGAAGGGAAGGGUGGAGGCGUUGCCCGACAGUUCCAAGGUCAUGGCUUGAAAUCACCAAACACAAGUUGGUGGGUGAAAAUCCUUUGUUUUGCUUCCUUGAUUGGAAUUCAUAGACAGGGAAAUGAAGACACUGAUUAAUUAGAAAACAUCAUUGUAACUUGUAGUAUAAGUAUAUGAUGCAUCCAAGGCCAUCAGGAGGGAACAGAAAUCAGGCCUUUUUGGUUAUUUUCCCACCUCAUAAUCCUCUCUUCCGAAAUGAUGGAUUUUAAAUUGGCAGAUGGAGAGGUACCAUAGCAAAGACUUACUUUAUGUUCCUUAAACCAUUAUCUCCCCCUUUCGGAGCACUGGGUUUUAUUCCUAAAGCUUUAUUUUCAGUUUUCAGAGCUAAAGUUUGAAACCUGAGAAAUCACAGUAAUGGUUUUAUUUUUCUCCAUUCAUGUCUAUUUCCUUAAGAGUUCUGUCUGGGAGGAUAAAAGGGCUCAUUUUUCCUUUUUUUAAAAAAUUAAUUCUCUAUUCAUUAAUAGUGGUGUGGAUUUAUGUGCUUUAUGAAAGCGUUAGCCCAGACAGAGGCAGAGGAUGUUAGAGCCGCAGGAGCUCUGGGGAACGUGGAGUCCAAGUGCUUCAUUUCACAGACCGGCGCAGUCGGGGCCGGAGGCUCGCUGUCGUUUGUUCCAGUUUUGCAGCUCUUUAUGGCAGGGUUGGCGUUUGGUCUUAGGUCACCAGACCCCAAAUUCAGAAUUCUUCCUGCUCUAUCAUAUAGUAGUAAAUCCUUUUUUAUUUGCAAAAUUGUUCAAAGAAUGAGGGCAGCAUAGCAUAAGAGAAAUGUAAAUUUAUUUUGACGUGCAAAAUUAUCAUCUUUCCUGUGUAUGUCUACACAUCUAUAAUCUUGAUCCAUCCAAAAGACAUAUGCACAUAAGGAGCUUGAGUAAUUUAACUCUUAAGGAAGAGGUAAUGUCAUUUUUGUGAGGAAUAUGUUUCUUCUAUCUAGGCAGAAUUUCAAUAGCAAAUAAAGAAGGGUGAACCAAACACCCUAAUCCACCAACUGAGUGACAGGCAGCAUGUUCUGUAUUCCUUUCUAUAUUUGAAUGAUACAGUGAUUAUAAAAAUGCUUCAGGAGCUGUUGUGCUCACGUAAUCAACUCUUUAAAUACUAUUUCUUGUUACUAUUUCAGUUUUUGCAGUAGAACCUGUAUGAGACAGGACUCAUGUUGUUUUGAAUUAUGUAAAUUUCACGUGUCGAGUGGGUAAAGGGGGAUGAAAUUGGGGUAAAGAGCUACCCUAGAAAAUUAGACCCGAUUCAGUUCAUUGUUUCACAUGCAGCACAAGAGAGGCAGAUAGGAUGGGUUCCUGCUCUCCCACCCCCACCCGCUCUAUGGAGCAGCGGCCAUGCGGCCCCGCCUGUGGCCCCCAGACCUUAAGUGGCGUCAGCUGGCUUGUUGGAAACUCAUAAUCUCAGGCCCCACCCCAGACCUACUGACUCAAGAUCUGCAUUUUAACAAGAGGCCCAGGUGAUUUGUAUGCAUGUUACAGGUUGAGAAGCACUGGGUUAUAGUACCUGUUAUCAGGAUGCUACUUUAUUAGUUGCACGAAGAUAUCCAUGGUAACUUUCAGUGUGUCAUUUACCAGGCCCAAAAAUACUAUUCUUGAACCUUGCAUUCAUGCCUUCAUUCAGCAAAUGUUUGUUGAGCUAGACUAGGUGCCAGACUAUGUUCUGGGGAUGAAGGGUGGUUAAGACAUUGUCUCAGCAAGCUCAUCAAGCAGGUGAGACCAAUAGGAUGGAUGAUGGCAGUCCAGUGCCAGAGGCCCAAUAACAGAGAUUAGCACAGGAUAUUUCCAGGCUUCAGAGGGUUACCCAACCUAGUGUGGGUGGAGUGGGGAGAAGGAAGUAGGAUCAAAGAAAGCUUCCUGAGUUAACUCCUAAAGGAUGAGUAGAUGUGUAUUUGUUUUCUAUUGCUGCAUAACACAUUACCACAAACUUAGUGGAUUAAAACCCCCCUUUUCUGUUACCUCAGAUUUUCUGUAGGUCAGGUGUCCAGGCUUAAAGGGAUUCUCUGCUCAGGGUCUCAAAAGGUAAAAUCAGAGUGUUGGCCUGGCUGAGUUCCUUUUGGAGCUCAGUGGUCUCUUCCAAGCUCAUCUGAUUUUCAGCAGAAUUCAGUUUGUUGUGGUUGUAGGACUGAGGUUCCCGUUUUCUCUGGCUGUCAAACAGGGGCCACUCUUGGCUCCAAGAGGCUCUGCACUUGUUUGCCACGUGGCCCUCUUACAGCAUGCUGUCCCAUUUUCAAGGCCAGCAGAGAUUCUGGCUCCAAUCAGUUGAGUUGGUGUCAUAUUGUGAUACAAUCAAGGGGGCGACUGUCCCAUCACUUUUGCCGUAUUUGGUGAUCUAGACGGCAGUGACAGGUUCCACCCCACUCAGGGGAGGGGAUUCUAUCAGGGGUCGUCUGAGAAUCCUGCCCACAGCAAGGAAAUUAGCUGGUGGAGGAGGGAGUGUGGAUGAAAGAAACUACAGAGCGAGUUCAGGGAACUUUGGGUGGGAGGUAAAAAGAGCUUUAGAAUAUAAAACGAUGAACUCCUUUUGGUAGUUUCUGAGUUUUGGGAGCUUGUAGAGGGUCCGGAUGAAGCUGUGCAGUGGGACUUUGGAUCCGCUUGUUUGAAACUUGACGGAGGGAGAUGAAGAUCCAUCAGUCAUCGUGCUGUGAGACUGAAAGUGGACUGAAUGGCGUAGGGUGCGUGGGUAGGCCGUGGCCAGAUGGAAGCCCUGGAAGAGCAGCAGUGAUGGUCGAGCACGGGAAGAGGCCUGGGCAGGGAAGGCAAAGGUGAGCCCAAGGCUGCGACGCAGGGGAAGGGCGAGGGCAGUGUCGUCACAGUCAGGCCGUGAGAAUGCGAUGAGGAGGAGGGAACGGCAGAGGACGCCCUCUAAUCAGCCACUCAGCAGAGAGUCAACGCCUAGCAAAUGAUGGGUAGUCAGCACCCAAACAUUGGAUGUUGUAUUUUAUUUGCAUCCUUAAAACUCAGCAGAGUUCCUGGCGUAUAAUAAUUGCUCAAUAAAUGUUUUUUAAAUAGGUAAUUAAUUCAGUUAGGGUUUUAAGGUUCUUCUUUACUCUCUCCUCAGAAUUCUUCUUUGAUCAGAGAUUUGUUCAUUUGAGAUGAUUUUUCACUUGGUAAACACAAGUAGGCAAGCUAACAGUUUCUAUUGAAUCUGGAUACAGUCUUAACAAUUUGAAACCUGGCAACAUACCUGUGAUAGCUACCACGGAGAGUCUACCACGUGUGUGUAAUAAGGCUUCACCCGAGGAUCUCUAAUCCUUAAAAUGAUCCAGGAAAGAAGUUAUGAUUAUCUCCAAGUCACAGGUUAGGAAACUAAGGUUCAGAGAGGUUAAAUCACUUGCCCAACGUCACACAGCUAUAGGGGGAGCGGGGGUUUGAGCCCUCAGCUGUCUGGUUUUAAAACCUGUACAGAGACAGAACUCUCUUAUUGUAUAUAAAACACUAAAUAGCCUAGGAAUCAUAUUAAAACAUAAGGCUGUAAUAAGUAAAACAGUGUGGUACUGGUACUUGAAUAGAGAGACAAACUAAAGAAACAGAAGAGAAAAGCCAUAAGUAGGAGCAAAUGCACAUGGCAGUUUAGUAUGUGGUUCACACGUCUUAGACUGGUGGGGAGGAUGAGGGCCAUUCAGUAGGUGGUCUUGGGACAGGUGAAUAGCCACCUGGGCAAAGAUAUUGUGUCUUUACUUCAUACCAUGUCCUGGGACAGCUUCAGAUUUAUCAAAGAUUUAAAUGUAAGAAAGAAACCGUAAGUGUAAUAGACAUAAACAAAGGAGAAGGCUUUAUGAUCUGGGAGUGGAGAAGCAUUUUCCAACUAUUACUCAAAUCUAAAAGCCAUAAAAGAAAAGUUUGAUAAUUUCAUUUUUUUAAAAUAAACAAACAACAAAAAUUUCUGCAUAUUAAAAAAGAUCGUAAGAAAAGUAAAAAAGAGAAAUCACAAACUUGGAGAAAAUAGUUCAUCUCAUAUUGUAGACAAAGGACUAAUCUUCCUAAUUUAUCAAGACCAAAAGAUGAAUAAUCAUUCCAACAGAAAAGUGGACCAAGGAUAUAAAGAGACAUUUCACAGAGAAGGAAAUACAAAUGGCUUUUAAAUAUGCAAAAUGAUCUUUAACUUCCUCAUAAUGAAACAGAUGUAAAUUAAAACUAUAGUGAGAGACCAUUUUUCAGUCAUCUUGGCAAGACUCCAAAAAUUUGUUGACAAGGCUAUGCGGAAACAGGCCCUGGCCCGAGGCAUUUGGCACUGUUGACGGGCACCUUGUGUGGGGCCCGCUGUGGUGGUAUUUAUCUGCAGGAAAACAUGUCUGCUUGGGCCCGCACUUCCACUUCUGAAAAGUCAUUCUGUGAUCGCCUUGCACACAUGCAAGAUGAAAUGUGUGCUCCUUUUUCACUGCAGCAUUAUAUGAUUGGAAAAAAGAUUGGAAACAACCUAAACAUCCAAAAAUAUGGAACCAGUUAAAUAAAUUAUGAAAUAUCCAUUCAGGGUAAUACUGUGCAGCUGUGAAAACAAGAACAACAAUGCUCUUUAUAACCUGAUGAAGAUCUCCAAGGUAUUUUGCUAAGUGAAAAGAGAGUCAGAAAACAGAAUUAUCAUGUGCUACCUUUUGUGCAUGAGAACAAACAUAAGAAUAUAUAUUCACAUUUCUUUGUAUUCUUAUAACAACCACUUUGCAUGGGUGAGUUAGACUGAUAACAGGGAUCACCGGAUGGGGGUACUAUGAAUUGGCCGAUGGGGGAGGGUAGGUGGGAAAGUUGUCACUGGAUUAUUUGUUUGUAUGUAUAUUUUUUUCCUUGAACCAUAUGAACUCAAAAGAUAAAAGGAAUUAUAUCUAUAGAAAGAUACCAAGCUAAGGCAUCUCAAGGAAUCUGUCAAGAUCAAUUCUCUAUGGCUCUAUGGGCAGGUGGCAGCCUGGCGCAGCCAUCUUCAAACUUGUUAGUUUGCUUACCCUGUCAGUAAAGAAAGUUGAUCACAUAUCUCCAUAUAUGUGGAUUAUUUGUUUAUUUGAAAAUUAUAUGACUUACUACUAUACAAAUCGUAUUUUGUACCUUAAAGCCGUAGACUAAAAAAGAAACUAAAAAAGUGUACAUAAAAAUGAAAUUAAUAGUAUUUAUUUUAACAGUUAAAAAUGAGUUUGCUCUCAUUAAAAUAUUAAUAUGAAUGAUUCUUUUUUGGAAACUCGAUUCAGAGCUUUGUGUUGCCAUUAUCUGAAGUCUAUUUAUUUUAUUUUAGUGAGGUCAUAAUAGUUUAUAACAUUGUGAAAUUACAGUUGUACAUUA